UACAGAGGUCCCAAGCGUUGUUCGGAUUCACUGGGCGUAAAGGGUGCGUAGGCGGUCGGGUAAGUCUGAUGUGAAAUCUCACAGCUUAACUGUGAAACUGCAUUGGAUACUAUCCGGCUUGAGGAAUGGAGGGGAGACUGGAAUACUUGGUGUAGCGGUGAAAUGCGCAGAUAUCAGGAAGAACACCCGUGGCGAAGGCGGCUCUCUGGAACGCAACUGACGCUGAGACGCGAAAGCGUGGGGAGCAAACAGG
rnacentral:rRNA from 1 species